UACGUAGGGGGCAAGCGUUGUCCGGAAUCAUUGGGCGUAGAGCGCGUGUAGGCGGCCAGAUAAGUCCGCUGUGAAAUCUCGAGGCUCAACUUCGAGCUGUCGGUGGAAACUGUCUGGCUAGAGUCCGGAAGAGGAGAAUGGAAUUCCUGGUGUAGCGGUGAAAUGCGCAGAUAUCAGGAAGAACACCCGUGGCGAAGGCGGUUCUCUGGGACGGUACUGACGCUGAGACGCGAAAGCGUGGGGAGCGAACAGG
rnacentral:rRNA from 1 species